GACGAACGCUGGCGGCGUGCUUAACACAUGCAAGUCGAACGGAAAGGCCCUGCUUUUGUGGUGUGCUCGAGUGGCGAACGGGUGAGUAACACGUGAGUAACCUGCCCUUGACUUUGGGAUAACUUCAGGAAACUGGGGCUAAUACCGGAUAGGAGCUCCUGCUGCAUGGUGGGGGUUGGAAAUUUUCGGCGGUUGGGGAUGGACUCGCGGCUUAUCAGCUUGUUGGUGGGGUAGUGGCUUACCAAGGCUUUGACGGGUAGCCGGCAUGAGAGGGUGACCGGCCACAUUGGGACUGAGAUACGGCCCAGACUCCUACGGGAGGCAGCAGUGGGGAAUAUUGCACAAUGGGCGGAAGCCUGAUGCAGCAACGCCGCGUGCGGGAUGACGGCCUUCGGGUUGUAAACCGCUUUCGCCUGUGACGAAGCGUGAGUGACGGUAAUGGGUAAAGAAGCACCGGCUAACUACGUG
rnacentral:rRNA from 1 species